ensembl:snRNA U2 U2 spliceosomal RNA
AUCGCUUCUCGGCCUCCUAUGGCUAAGAUCAAGUGUAGUAUCUGUUCUUAUCAGUUUAAUAUCUGAUAUGUUCUCUAUAUGAGAACUCUAUAUUAAAUAGAUUUUUGAAACAGGGAAAGGGAAUAGGAGCUUGCUCCAUCCUUUCCAUGCAUUGACCUGGUAUUGCAGUGUUUCCAGGAACAGUGCACUUCCC